ACUUGUGCACUUGUGUUAGUGGAUCAGAUUUUAGGCUGCUAUUAUUAACCUAUUAACCAUUUGUGACGAACGGUUUUUUUUGUUUUUUUUUUCUGUCGACUGGUGUGACCUGACAGUAUCGUGCGUGGAAACACACACCACUGUUUUGACGAUUAAACGAGAGUGGGCGUGCAGGUACAGAGUGUCCUGCACAAUGCAAAGUCAGCAUGCCAGUUGUAAACAAAACACGCACACACAGAUCCGCCAUGAUGAGACAAACACCUCGACGACUUUACACACUUGGUAUGAACUCACUGAUUAUACCGCAACACAACGUACCUUUUUAUUUCCGUCUUUUUAAAGGAGAUCCGUCGACGUUGUAUUCCAGGCUGAGGUGUCCAGAAAUGGUACCACUACGUCGUAUAUCCCAAAUGGUAUUGACGAAGACUUGGAAGCAGCGUCUUCUCCCCUCGACAGUUUUUCUUUGCUACCCCCACACCCUUUCGACACUAAACAGGAGAGCACACACGCAGGAACACACGUGCCCGUGCAUGGACUCUGCGUGGGCUCGCCUCUCAUUGGCGGAGGAAACGCCCCAAGCCGCGCCCACAUCAGCCACCAAGCCGGUUCUAUUGGACGAGGGGCGGGGGGCGGAGCUUGCAGCACGGGGCUCUGGUCACGUUGCGGGCUGCCUGCUCCUGUGUUCUUUGCUAAACAUUGAGGACACGUGAAAAGGCGGGACAGCACUUCCCCGAUGCGCCGUAGUGCCUUAAACGGGACGCAAUGCAACUUUAAACAACUACCAACAAGCACGUUUACUUCGAACACAGCCAUACUGACAUAUUUUCUAGUUUUAAUAACGCUGUCACGUGACUUUACUCACGCGUUCACACGUUUCUGGAGGAAACACAUCCAACAGGCAGUUUCUGCUGCGCGUCUAGUGGCAGCUUUACGGCGAGUGCGAGCACAUUUCAACGUGUUUCCAGGGCGCUGACGUCAUCUGUCCUGCUCGCCCUGUCCAGAGUCACAUGGCAAACGGUGUGGUCCUCCUGUGGCGGUAAACAGAGCAGAUGUAGGGCAGUUCAGGCCACAUGCCAUCGAGUUAAUAGGCGACAUGCCAUCGAGUUAAUAGGCGACCGAUGUGCUACUAAACUACAACUAGCACGUUGUAGUUGCUUGCUGUCGACGUCAUGUUCUCUUAUUUUGGAACUUUGAAGACACGCACUGCGUGAAAGAAGGAACGAGCUGCACACAACCAUUUUCAAGAGUCGCUGUGAUUUCGUUUGCACAUUAAUACCAGUAGGGGACAUUUCACCUCACAUCAAUUGCAUCCACACCAAUGUGUUUCUGUCCCAUAAGCAGAGUUCUGCUCACAGGAGCAUAUUUAGUUGUUUUGAUUAGUCAGCUACUAAUGCGGCGUUUAUGUAGCAAGUGCUACAUACUUACCUACAUGUACACUUGGCUAAUUUAUACUAUAUCUAUACCUAAGUAUGAUUACUUUUACAUAUAUAUUGGUAUAUGUAUACACAGUAUAUUUGAAGAGUAUUCCUACUUAAAGGCCUACUGAAACCCACUUCUACCGACCACGCAGUCUGAUAGUUUAUAUAUCAAUGAUGAAAUAUUAACAUUGCAACACAUGCCAAUACGGCCUUUUUAGUUUACUAAACUACAAUUUUAAAUUUCCCGGGAGUUUCGUCUUCGAAACGUCGUGUAAUGAUGACCUUUACGCAAGAUGUCACAGGUUUUUAGGAAGUAUGAGCGCUGCGCACACACACAGCUAAAAGUCGUCUGCUUUAACGGCAUAAUUAUACAGUAUUUUGGACAUCUGUGUUGCUGAAUCUUUUGCAAUUUGUUCAAUUAAUAUUGGAGAAGUCACAGUAGAAAGAUGGAGUUGGGAAGCUUUAGCCUUUAGCCACACAAACACGCGGUGAUUCCUUGUUUAAAAUUCCUGGAGGUGAAACUUUCCUAUGGAUCAGAGCGCAGUCAAGCCAACAUGGAUCCCGACCACAUGUCAACCAGCAGGUUUCGCUGCCGUCAACUCCCCUGAGACACUGCGCGUCAAGACACCCGUGGAGACACCCUUCCGACUAUCAGGUGCACUCGGGAGGGGGGAAGGGUACCCCUUGGACAAGUCGCCAACUCAUCGCAAACAAGGAAGAAAUGUGUGGUGAAAAUAUUUUUCUAGCAGGACAUUUGAGUGAGGAAAAAGGAAACAUUGAAAUCCAAGAUCGAGAUGCAAAAGAUAGAGGUGGGAUUUUGGAGGAAGAUAUGGAAACGGACUGGACUAGAGUAGAGAGUGAAAGAAAAGGUAGGGGAAGUAAGGAGAGAAGAACAAAUUUCAAAAUAGCUUACAAGGAAAAUAUGGAAGGAGAUGCCAGGAAGAAGACUAUGAGGGACGAGUACAGUCAACCUAAAGUUUGAAGAUGAAGUAGAUUUUUCGGCAAUUAGUGCACUGACACCAACUGAGUGAAGAAGAAAAUAGGAGAUGAUGAAAUGGUGAAAGUGAUAAAAUAUGGAAAUCUCCUGUAAUUUUUUUUUAAAAAAAGCAAUGCUUCUAAAAACAUUUUCUAGGAGGGAAUGAUAGAAAGCAAAAUUGUGGGUGAAUGGAGAGAAACAGGAGAAGGUGUGGCGACUGGAAUCCCUGUAAAACCGAAGUGAACCAAAAUGUUGGUAAGUUUUAGCUCUUCUUCCUGCGAGGCCGGCGCUGCCACCAGUUCAGCCUCCAGUGGAGCCGCUACCACCUUCAGCUCCACCUCCUGUUUAGCAUCCAGUGGGUCUGCUGCUGACGCCACCUUCAGUUCAGCAGCCAGCUCGCCUGCCACAGAAGCGCCCAUCUGGUGUUCGCCCUCCUCACCUGCUGCAAGACCGCCCUCCUGACGCCUGCAGUUUUCCUCCUCGCCUGCCGCAGCAAUGGCUGUUCCUUGGAUGCUCCCGCGCCAUCAGCAGCAACGCCCAGGACCUUGGCGGGGAUCUCCGCAGCUGCUGGGGAUAGGUUCACACUGUGGUCAUUCCAGGGACGCCUGGGUCGCCGGCUGUGGAAGUGUUCUACUUGCCGCCACCACCCGACUCUUCCCCACUGGCUUCAACGACACAUGGCCAGGCGACCCGUCGCCAAGUCCUCGCUCCACUUUACCUUGACUUUGAACAUGUUCUUUUUGAGUUCCUGGGACAUCUGGAAUCCAUCCCUUCAGGAGGAGGGCCUAGGGGGGUACUGUAAUGACCUCUGAGCUCUAGGUCAUGUCUUGUUUAGUUUUGUGUGUACCUCCUGUGUUUUGUGUUCUUAUUUUAUUCCCACUUCCUGUCCUUGGUCGCGCGCAGUAUGUCAAGCUUGCCCCUGACAGUUUGUCUAUGUUUUAGUUUUGUCCUCUGCAUUUGUCUGUUUCCUGUGUUUAAUAUUUCCUGUCUUUUAGUUCCUGUCAAGUGCUCUUAAUUUGCCAGCUUCCUGUCUUGUUCCCUGAGUGCUGUGUUCCUCCUCAGUGUGUUUAGUAUUUCCUGUCCUCAGGUCCUGUCUAGUGCUCUUAUUUUGUCAGCUUCCUGUGUUGUUCCCCGAGUGCUGUGUUCCCCUUCAGCUGAUUGCCAAUCAGCCGGCUCCUAUUUGUACCUCCUUUGUCUUGUGUCAGUUGCUGGAUCAUUGUAUUGUCAUUUGUAUUGUCGUUGCCUCAUGUCACUCUUGUGUCUUUGCUACCUGUCGUGUCUGGCAUCAUUUCAGCUACUACCUGUCGUGCUACAUCUUGUCCUGGUCGUCGUAGCGGUAAGCUGUUUUUGUUAGCCAUUAGCUAUUUCCAGUUUUUCUGUUUGUUAUCCUCUAGCUUCCAUGCUAAAGUUCCUUUUUGUUUCUUAUUACCUUCUAAGCUUAAGGCAUUUGGUUUAUUAUCCGCCCACGUGCGUGCUUUUGGUUUGAACCCUUUGUUUGAUUUUGUCUUAGUAUCUUUAUUAAAUCAUGUUUGCUCACUCCAUUCCUGCCUCCAUCUCUGCAUCAUGGGGU